CACCGCGGUUAUACGAGAGACCCAAGUUGACAACUUCCGGCGUAAAGCGUGGUUAGGUUAAAUAAUAUGAACUAAAGCCGAACGCCCCCCAUGCUGUUACAAGCAUUUGAAGGUAAGAAGCUCAUCUACGAAAGUGACUUUACAACCCUGAAUCCACGAAAGCUAAGGCA
rnacentral:rRNA from 1 species